rnacentral:rRNA from 1 species
AGUUAACGUUGGCGGCGUGCCUAACACAUGCAAGUCGAACGCGUCCUAAGGGCAACUUUAGGAUGAGUGGCGAACGGGUGAGUAUCACGUGGGUAAUCUUCCUUUAAGUGGGGAAUAAGCUCUCGAAAGGGAGUCUAAUACCGCAUGACAUUCCGGGACACAAGUCCCGUAAUCAAAGCCGCAAGGCGCUUGAAGAUGAGCCUGCGUCCUAUUAGCUAGUUGGUGGGGUAACGGCCUACCAAGGCUCAGAUGGGUAGCCGGCCUGAGAGGGUGAACGGCCACACUGGGACUGAGACACGGCCCAGACUCCUACGGGAGGCAGCAGUGAGG